rnacentral:rRNA from 1 species
GAUGAACGCUGGCGGCGUGCCUAAUACAUGCAAGUCGAGCGAACGGACGAGAAGCUUGCUUCUCUGAUGUUAGCGGCGGACGGGUGAGUAACACGUGGAUAACCUACCUAUAAGACUGGGAUAACUUCGGGAAACCGUAGCUAAUACCGGAUAAUAUUUUGCACCGCAUGGUUCAAUAGUGAAAGACGGUCUUGCUGUCACUUAUAGAUGGAUCCGCGCUGCAUUAGCUAGUUGGUAAGGUAACGGCUUACCAAGGCAACGAUGCAUAGCCGACCUGAGAGGGUGAUAGGCCACACUGGAACUGAGACACGGUCCAGACUACUACGGGAGGCAGCAGUAGGGAAUCUUCCGCAAAGGGCGAAAGCAUGACGGAGCAACGCCGCGUGAGUGAUGAAGGUCUUCGGAUCGUAAAACUCUGUUAUUAGGGAAGAACAGAUGUGUAAGUAACUGUGCACAUCUUGACGGUACCGAAUCAGAAAGCCACGGCUAACUACGUG